rnacentral:lncRNA from 1 species
CAGUGGAUUGCUGAAAGGGAAAAAACCCAGUUGGGUUCAAUGGCCAUUGAUAAUUGGAGAGCAUUAUUGGAAUGCAACAGCUUAUCUGGCUUCGUCUGGUCCUAAGUUACACCAAACAAAACACAUCAUAAGUUACUUUAAAAAAUCUAAACAAAUUUAGAUUAGGAUAUUUGGACUUAAUAUUUCAACUUAAAUUUCAGCUGAAGUUUUUGUGUGACCUAGGUGCUUGUGACAAUAGAAAUCAAGGUUAACUUCCCCUGUCAAAUCGUGGUAAAUCUUCAAGAUAUUGAUGCCUUCCCCAGAUCCAAUUCUUUGCUGCUAUCUCUUCUCUUUCCAGAUAACAGCAAAAUAAUGCUGCCACUCAAGAGGUUGUGAUGACCACCACUUAGUUCUAAUUUAGGACAAUGUAACAUUGAUAGAUUUGAGGGCGAGAUUCUCACGACCAUUAUAGUUGUUUGGAAACUGACAGCACUGCUGGACACUCACCCACUGGGAUAAUCAGGAGGAUGAGUAGGGCUCUGAUGCACUAUACAUGUACUUCCUCUGCGACGUCUAAUUGUUUCCUAGCUUAAAUGGCUUCACACCCACUUCCGCUGCGACACACCUGUAGUCACUCAGCACUCACCACGGGAUUGUGCCCAGAUACCCACAAAUUAACUUAUUUUUGUUUAUUAUCUACUGAUAACCUACUAGCUUUAAACUCAGUGUUUAAUAAUUCUUAAAUUUAGGUUUUUCUUGCGAGUCGCUAACGAAGUGUUGCGAGUUCACGAGAGGAAUGAAAUAGCUGUUGCAAGUCACUUUCUCGUCUUAUAAAGGACCCACUAUAGAGACUUUGGAAUCUGGGGCUUAACAUCUGGAGUAAAAAUCAGAUUGAAUGAAAAAUCUGUUUAAUUGAUCCAUUCAUAAAAUUGGCCUAGUAAGCCGAAGUCCUGAUGGA